rnacentral:lncRNA from 1 species
AUACAGCAGAAGAAAACAGAGAUCUAACUACGUUAUAUAGAUAUUUAUAUAAUACAAUUCUGUCCCCUAAAAUAUGUUAUCACUAUCCGACCAAAUGAAACCGUCCAAAUGAUACUGGUAAAUAUUAUUGAACAGUCGCACAAGAAUUUGUAUACAAAUCCUUGAGUCGCAGUACUAAAAAAAAUUUCAACACAUCGGGGUUCAGCUGAACAUUCGUAUAUACCAACCAAUGAUCUUACCCUGGAUUUUGAGCGAAGCUUAAUAAUUCCUACAUCUAUUUAAAAUCUCUUUGAUCUUUUCAUUUUAUCAGAACGAUCAUUUACAAUCGUCUUAAAUAUGCAGGAAAUGUGUGCC